GAUGAACGCUGGCGGCGUGCUUAACACAUGCAAGUCGAACGAAGUGGCGAACGGGGGAGCAAUACGGGAGUAACCUGACCUCCAAUAUGGGUUAAGCCAUGGAAAAGGGGUCUAAUACCGAGUAAAGGGGUAUGGGCUCGCGGCCUGUCAGCUUGUUGGUGGGGUAAUGGGCUACCAAGGCGGUGACGGGUAGCCGGCCUGAGAGGGUGACGCGCCACAUUGGGAGUGUGAUACGGCCCAGGCUCCGACAGGAGGCAGCGGUGGUGGAUAUUGGACAAUGUGCGAAAGCCUGCUGCAGCGGCGCAGCGUAGGGGAUGAAGGCUUUCGGGUUGUAAACGUCUUUCGCUGUCGAACGGGUACGUGGAGAAGAAGCGCCGGCUAACUACGUGCCAGCAGCCGCGGUAAUAC
rnacentral:rRNA from 1 species